rnacentral:rRNA from 2 species
CGAGUGGCGGGUGCUAUACAUGCAAGUCGAACGAACUCUGGUAUUGAUUGGUGCUUGCAUCAUGAUUUACAUUUGAGUGAGUGGCGAACUGGUGAGUAACACGUGGGAAACCUGCCCAGAAGCGGGGGAUAACACCUGGAAACAGAUGCUAAUACCGCAUAACAACUUGGACCGCAUGGUCCGAGCUUGAAAGAUGGCUUCGGCUAUCACUUUUGGAUGGUCCCGCGGCGUAUUAGCUAGAUGGUGGGGUAACGGCUCACCAUGGCAAUGAUACGUAGCCGACCUGAGAGGGUAAUCGGCCACAUUGGGACUGAGACACGGCCCAAACUCCUACCGGGAGGCAGCAGUAGGGAAUCUUCCACAAUGGACGAAAGUCUGAUGGAGCAACGCCGCGUGAGUGAAGAAGGGUUUCGGCUCGUAAAACUCUGUUGUUAAAGAAGAACAUAUCUGAGAGUAACUGUUCAGGUAUUGACGGUAUUUAACCAGAAAGCCACGGCUAACUACGUGCCAGCAGCCGCGGUAAUACGUAGGUGGCAAGCGUUGUCCGGAUUUAUUGGGCGUAAAGCGAGCGCAGGCGGUUUUUUAAGUCUGAUGUGAAAGCCUUUCGGCUCAACCGAAGAAGUGCAUCGGAAACUGGGAAACUUGAGUGCAGAAGAGGACAGUGGAACUCCAUGUGUAGCGGUGAAAUGCGUAGAUAUAUGGAAGAACACCAGUGGCGAAGGCGGCUGUCUGGUCUGUAACUGACGCUGAGGCUCGAAAGUAUGGGUAGCAAACAGGAUUAGAUACCCUGGUAGUCCAUACCGUAAACGAUGAAUGCUAAGUGUUGGAGGGUUUCCGCCCUUCAGUGCUGCAGCUAACGCAUUAAGCAUUCCGCCUGGGGAGUACGGCCGCAAGGCUGAAACUCAAAGGAAUUGACGGGGGCCCGCACAAGCGGUGGAGCAUGUGGUUUAAUUCGAAGCUACGCGAAGAACCUUACCAGGUCUUGACAUACUAUGCAAAUCUAAGAGAUUAGACGUUCCCUUCGGGGACAUGGAUACAGGUGGUGCAUGGUUGUCGUCAGCUCGUGUCGUGAGAUGUUGGGGUAAGUCCCGCAACGAGCGCAACCCUUAUUAUCAGUUGCCAGCAUUAAGUUGGGCACUCUGGUGAGACUGCCGGUGACAAACCGGAGGAAGGUGGGGGAUGACGUCAAAUCAUCAUGCCCCU